rnacentral:rRNA from 1 species
AGGGUUCGAGUUCUGGCUCAGGAUGAACGCUAGCGACAGGCUUAACACAUGCAAGGUCAGGGGCAUCACGGGAGUAGCAAUACAACUGGUGGCGACCGGCGCACGGGUGAGUAACGCGUAUGCAACCUACCUAUCAGAGGGGAAUAACCCGGCGAAAGUCGGACUAAUACCGCAUAAAACAGGGGCACCGCAUGGUGAUAUUUGUUAAAGAAAUUCGCUGAUAGAUGGGCAUGCGUUCCAUUAGGUAGUUGGUCCCCCCGAGGUAACGGCUCACCAAGCCGACGAUGGAUAGGGGAACUGAGAGGUUGGUCCCCCACACUGGUACUGAGACACGGACCAGACUCCUACGGGAGGCAGCAGUGAGGAAUAUUGGUCAAUGGGCGGGAGCCUGAACCAGCCAAGUCGCGUGAAGGAAGAAGGAUCUAUGGUUCGUAAACUUCUUUUGCAGGGGAAUAAAGUGCAGGACGUGUCCUGUUUUGUAUGUACCCUGAGAAUAAGGAUCGGCUAACUCCGUGCCAGCCGCCGC